GCUGGAGGGGGCGGCACGGUGAGUGCACGCUGGCGCCCCCCUGCCCCCCCACCUGCCUCCAGGGGCAAAGAAGACCCCGGAAUGGGCAGGACGGGGACGCGCAGUCCCUGAAGAGAGGAACGGCCACCCGAGGACCGGGGAGACCGAAGCAAAUGGACAGCCCGAGCCCACGGCCGCAGGGAGGGACCAGACGCAGGAGGCCCCACGGGGUGGCUACAGCGGACAGCCCCGUGAAUCCGUGGCCCGUCCCAGAGCUGUGCACUUGGACAGGGGCGCUGCAGGGCCCCAGCUCCACCUCCCGGAACAGUGAGCCGUGCCCCAGGGCCAGGGCCAGGGCCAGGGCCAGGGCCAGAACGGGCGACCCCGAGCAGCGCAGGAGGGGCGCCCUGGGGAGGGGCGGCGGCAGAGGGAGCGGAGACAGGCAGGGGCGCGGUGGCGAGGCGGGCACUCACCUCCCCAUGGACACGACGUAGCGCGGCUCGGGCAUCUGGUCGUACACCUGGAAGAGACGGUGGGGUCUGGCCGCGGCUCGAGGCCGGGGCGCAGGCGGCGGGCCUCGGGGCCGGGCCUACC